rnacentral:rRNA from 1 species
GAGGGAAGUUUAGCCGGGAAGUUUGCGUCUUGAAAGAG